rnacentral:rRNA from 1 species
GAUGAACGCUGGCGGCGUGCCUAAUACAUGCAAGUCGAGCGAACGGACGAGAAGCUUGCUUCUCUGAUGUUAGCGGCGGACGGGUGAGUAACACGUGGAUAACCUCCCUAUAAGACUGGGAUAACUUCGGGAAACCGGAGCUAAUACCGGAUAAUAUUUUGAACCGCAUGGUUCAAAAGUGAAAGACGGUCUUGCUGUCACUUAUAGAUGGAUCCGCGCUGCAUUAGCUAGUUGGUAAGGUAACGGCUUACCAAGGCAACGAUGCAUAGCCGACCUGAGAGGGUGAUCGGCCACACUGGAACUGAGACACGGUCCCGACUCCUACGGGAGGCAGCAGUAGGGAAUCUUACGCAAUGGGCGAAAGCCUGACGGAGCAACGCCGCGUGAGUGAUGAAGGUCUUCGGAUCGUAAAACUCUGUUAUUAGGGAAGAACAUAUGUGUAAGUAACUGUGCACAUCUUGACGGUACCUAAUCAGAAAGCAACGGCUAACUACGUG